AACAUGCCCAAAACAAACACAUACGGUCUAAAAGGCAUUCAAGACACAAUAUCACCUUUUUAUUUCAACCAACAAAACAAGAACUCUUCAAUCAGAAAGUUUGCAUUAUAGUUUAUACUUUAUUGAUAAAAUCAAUAUAUCCAACUCCAAUACAAUCCACAAAACUAAACACUUUUUUUCCUCAUUUAUAACAAACCCCUAAAUCUUUUGGAAACUUUUUAUAAGCAUUAUCAUGGGCUAAUAAUGCACCUAGCCCAUGCAUGUAACCAAAAAAUUAAGAUCGAGAGAAACCACUGACACAGAAUUCAAA
rnacentral:misc_RNA from 1 species